GAUGAACGCUGGCGGCGUGCCUAAUACAUGCAAGUCGAGCGAACAGACGAGGAGCUUACUCCUCUGACGUUAGCGGCGGACGGGUGAGUAACACGUGGAUAACCUACCUAUAAGACUGGGAUAACUUCGGGAAACCGGAGCUAAUACCGGAUAACAUGUUGAACCGCAUGGUUCAACAGUGAAAGACGGUCUUGCUGUCACUUAUAGAUGGAUCCGCGUCGCAUUAGCUAGUUGGUAAGGUAACGGCUUACCAAGGCAACGAUGCGUAGCCGACCUGAGAGGGGGAUCGGCCAAACUGGACUUGAGCCACGGUCCAGACUCCUACGGGGGGCAGCAGUGGGAAUCUUCCGCAAUGGGCGAAAGCCUGACGGAGCAACGCCGCGUGAGUGAAGAAGGUCUUCGGAUCGUAAAACUCUGUUAUUAGGGAAGAACAAAUGUGUAAGUAACUAUGCACGUCUUGACGGUACCUAAUCAGAAAGCCACGGCUAACUACGUG
rnacentral:rRNA from 1 species